rnacentral:piRNA from 1 species
UGGGUACAAUGUUCUACUCAACCAGUGC